GGGUGGCUAGCCACCUCUCUCCCCCAGACACUCUAGCCGAACUUCGACCGACAGGCCUGGACCCACUGGCAGGCCGCAGCAACAGCCACGACUCUGCUCCACUUCUUACGACGGAUUCCGCACGGCUCCAUCACUCCCUGGCAGGCCACAAUAAUGACCACGAUCCUGCUCUACUUUCUGUGACGGAUACCGCACGAUUCCUCCAUCCUCUGGCAAGUUGCGACAACAGACGCUGCUCCACUCCCCGCGGCAGACUCCACGUGGCACGUCCCAGUGAUAGCCACGGUUCCACUCCACUACUCUUUGCAACAAACUCCUCCUGACUAUGGGCAGCCCACUACC
rnacentral:lncRNA from 1 species